UUCGCCUCCAGAACGAACAAGCUGAAAAGAUGCUUGACAGUUUAGUGAAGAUAUCUUCAAAUUACUACAGAGAAAAGUAUCCUCGAGAGAAAAAUACUGCAUUUUCCACUGAUGUUGCAACAGAGGCUGGAGCAGUUUUAUCAACAAAUUUUCAAAAACAAGUCAAAGAAAAAAGAACCAUUUGGGACAAACUGAUUGGGAAGAAGAAGUAGCAUUUAGCGUGAUAUUUGCUACAGCAAGAAAGGUGUAUUAAAUACUGUACAUAGUAUGACUGACGACAUUUAUUCAUACCAUCAUACAUUCUAGUUGUCCAAUCCUGGCCUCAUUUUKACWUGCUCAAGGACUCGG